rnacentral:rRNA from 1 species
GAUGAACGCUAGCGGGAGGCUUAACACAUGUAAGUCGAGGGGUAACGAUGUCUUCGGACAGGCGACGACCGGCGCACGGGUGAGUAACGCGUAUGCAACCUACCUUAAACAGAGGGAUAGCCCAGAGAAAUUUGGAUUAAUACCUCAUAACAUUAUGAUGUCGCAUGGCAUUAUAAUUAAAACUCCGGUGGUUUAAGAUGGGCAUGCGUGACAUUAGUUUGUUGGUGAGGUAACGGCUCACCAAGACUACGAUGUCUAGGGGUUCUGAGAGGAUGAUCCCCCACACUGGUACUGAGACACGGACCAG